UACAGAGGGGGCAAGCGUUAUUCGGAAUUAUUGGGCGUAAAGGGUGCGUAGGCGGUGGUUUAAGUGAGAUGUGUAAUCCCCGGGCUUAACCUGGGAACUGCAUCUCAUACUGGAUCGCUAGAGUGCUGGAGAGGGUGGUAGAAUUCCACGUGUAGCGGUGAAAUGCGUAGAGAUGUGGAGGAAUACCAGUGGCGAAGGCGGCCACCUGGACAGUAACUGACGCUGAGGCACGAAAGUGUGGGGAGCAAACAGG
rnacentral:rRNA from 1 species